rnacentral:lncRNA from 1 species
GGAACACAAACUGUCAAAUUGUUGUAGUUUUUGUUUUUCUCUUGAAAGUGGCAUGCCUGUUUUUCCUUGGUGUCACACUGUGGUUGUGUUCCUUUUUGGACAGCUACCUAAUGCUCCGUUGAGUGAAGUUACUUAAGAAUUCCCACAUUGGUUUUCCUUGUUUCCAUUCUUUUUUUCCCCUUAAGUAGUAUGUUUGUCACCAACUGAGCAAAACAAGAGGGUCUCACAGGACAUGCACAUCUUAGUUGUAAAAUAAGUUCCUUGAUGUUUGUGGCUUGUUCAGUGUGCGGGGCUGGUAGGGACUGCCGUGUAGGAGCACCUGGAAGGGGCUCAGGGAACCAGGGCAGGAAUGAGAGAGACGGCCAGGGGCAUCCCUUGUCCUGGGGACCCUAGGGCCAUUGGUUCAUUAGUCUAGCAGAACCCUGCCUCCCUCAUGGGAGUUGGUCUUGAUGAGAAGGCAAAGAAUGCACUCAACUUCGCAGAGGCAACGCUAGCUCUGCAGAGUUAGAUGCAGCAAUUGCUCAUAAUUAUCUUCCACCACCUGGGAAAAAGGCAGGCUCCACAUGAGCAGGUUGGUCGGAUAUGACACUUUCUACAAGUACCAGAAUCACAGCUUCCUGGCUUUUGGAGAAAUCCGCUCUCUGGAGAUUAAAUAGAUUCAAAGGGGUCAAUUUUUAUGUAUAAGUCCAGGUACUAUAUAACGGUUCCCUAAAACAUCUCAUGGAACUAUUUCUAUGUGUUAAGAAGCUUCAUUUUUUUUUUUUUUUUGGCACUAGGGAUGAAACCCAGGGGCACUUAAUCACUGAGCCACAUCUCCAGCCCUUUUUUUAUGUUUUAUCUAGAGACAGGGUCUCCUGAGUUGCUUAUGACCUCACUGUGUUGCUGAGGCUGGCUUUGAACUUGUGAUCUUCCCAUCUCAGCCUCCAGAGCCGCUGGGAUUACAGGCCUGCGCCAUCAAACCCAACUGCUUCAUUCACUUUUAAAUGUAGUCAUUCAUUCAUUCAUUGCAUUGUCUAUGAUGCUAGAAAUACUAUGCUAAAAUACUACACAU